UUUUAUGAGAGUUUGAUCCUGGCUCAGGACGAACGCUGGCGGCGUGCCUAAUACAUGCAAGUAGAACGCUGAGGUCUGGUGCUUGCACUAGACGGAUGAGUUGCGAACGGGUGAGUAACGCGUAGGUAACCUGC
rnacentral:rRNA from 1 species